AGGUUUGAGAGAGAGAGAACGGAUUUGCCGGAGUUUCCGUCGGAGAGUCGCCUAUAGGAUCCAUUCCCUACUAAGACCUGUACUCUGGAGCCCUUCUUGGAGUGAAGUAAGAACUCGUGUGGAGAUUUCCUCCUCUUCCCUCAAGAUCAGAAACAAAAAAAAAACCCAAGGGAAGAUUCGCCGCUGAUCUUGGUGAGGAAAACGGACGAAACGACGAGAUCGGAGAGACUACCCAAGAACGGAGGAGGGAGAAAACCGCCGGCGUACCACGUGGCAACCAGCUAGAGGGCCGCGUGCGCCAAUCGCCCCCGGACACGCGUCGAGCGCCGCCUGGGAAAGCGCGGCUCCAGCUCUCCUGCAACACGCGUCUCUGGCUACGCGACCCGGACCCGCGACCCGCGACCCGCGACUGCAGAAAUCUCUGGGCGCGUGACACUCGCGCGUGGGAUCUGCGAGUGGCUGCUCCCCGGCGUGAGACUGGCGCGUGGAGGCGCGUGACCUUAUUGAGGAAAAAUCACCCCCUCUCGAUACGCCAAGUGUGUGGAAACGCUGCGUAAGGGCACGUAGCAUCCAAGUAAGUCGCCACACGGAAUUUAGGAAGUAAUACUUGUAGGAACCGCUUGGGAUGCAUGCAUGCUAGUUUGAAUUACCUUAGGUUGUAGCUUUCCGUAAUGUUCUUGGAGGAAUAGAUUAUUGAAAGUAAGAUGUAUGCUGUGAUUUGUUAUGAGCGUUACUUGGAUACUGCUUAUAUGCUUUUAGUUCCCAUUUUAUUUCAUGCAUAUGUAUAUCUUUUUGCUGAAUGGAGGAUGGGAAAAUUGCGAACUCUGUGCUCCGGGAGUUGAUGGAUGUUAUCACCCCGUCGAGCUUGUAUGAUUACUUUGCAUGAAAUGUGUUUGAGGUUUUUGGAUAUUAGUUAUGUACGUACUCGGUUAUUUUCAUGGCCACCUUUAUGAAUAAGACUAGUAGACUAUGGUUAGAGCGACAAGCCAUCAAGGGAUAGACAUAACCUUUUCCUAUUAGUUUAACAGACCAUCACGGCACAUGAAACAUCCUUAGAGUACCCUUAGGCUACUUGUGUGUGGAUGGUGAUAUAGCUUCGUGGGGGACCAGCGGGUUCCUGAUCAGGACUCGAUUGCUCGAUAGCCGUUUAGUAUGGGAAACGGGAUACCCACGUCGUAAUUGACCGUUUAGCUGGAUGGAAUAGGGGAGGUAGCCCUCCCAAAUACAGGGGGAUUAUCAUGGGUCUAGGGGGUUGCAGCUCACUUCCUAGGCAAGACCCCAGAUAAUCUCAUACCCAUGCCGAGGUAGCCACUCGUAAGGCACCAGUCCAACACAGGUUAGCAUAAAAGGAACUCUAUGGGUUUAAAUAAAAGGUCUA